AGUCUCGACUUUCCUGGGCUCAGGGUUUCCUAAUAAUGUAAUGUUGAGAUAGGAGAUCAGCAGAACUUGUUUUCCAAGCACUGGUCAAGACCUUGGUCAUGAUCCCGCUGAUCAAAACAGAAUCUGGUCGGAACAGGAUGCAGUGAAGAAAUCAGCUGAAACCAGCUGGAACCAAGAUGGCAACAAAAGUGACCUCACUUUUGUCCCUCACUGCUCAUUAUAUGCUAGUGAUAAUGCAUGCUAAAAGACAUUCCCACCAGCACCAUGACAGUUUACACAUGCCACGGCAAUACCCAAAAGUUAUCUUAUGUGAUUUAAAAGGGGGAGGAACCCUCAGUUCCAGGAACUCCGGAUCCCUUUGCUAGAAAAUUCAUGAAUAACCUGCCCCUUAUUUAGCAUAUAAUAAGAAGUAGCUAUACAUAUAGAUAGCUGGUAGUCCAGGAGUGCUGCUCUGCCUAUGGGGUAGCCCUGUAAACCCCAUCCACCUGUAUGGAUGCUCUAUGAAACCCACUUUUCUGUACUCUGUUGCUCUAAUAAACUUGCUUUGCUUUCACUCUUUUCUGUUGGGUCACUCUCAAAUUAUUUCCUGUGCAAAGCCAAGAACGCUCUCAGGCUGAGCCCCAGUUUUGGGGCUCACUUGCAUUAAGAUAAGUUGCAGAAAUUGUA
rnacentral:lncRNA from 10 species